UGGGGAAUAUUGGGCAAUGGGCGCAAGCCUGACCCAGCCAUGCCGCGUGAGUGAUGACGGCCUUAGGGUUGUAAAGCUCUUUUAGUGGUGAGGAUGAUGACGGUAACCACAGAAAAAGCCCCGGCUAACUUCGUGCCAGCAGCCGCGGUAAUACGAAGGGGGCUAGCGUUGUUCGGAUUUACUGGGCGUAAAGCGCACGCAGGCGGCUUAUCAAGUCAGGGGUGAAAUCCCGGGGCUCAACCUCGGAACUGCCUUUGAAACUGGUAAGCUAGAGUUCGGGAGAGGAUAGUGGAAUUCCUAGUGUAGCAGUGAAAUGCGUAGAUAUUAGGAGGAACACCGAUGGCGAAGGCAGCUAUCUGGCCCGAUACUGACGCUCAUGUGCGAAAGCGUGGGGAGCAAA
rnacentral:rRNA from 1 species